UCCAUCGCGAGGUGGAAUCUGAAGGAAGCUGAAAGCAAAGUGCUGGCCUGACGAACAGGAAGCGGAUUAGGCGACGUAGCGGGGUGAGGCGGCCAAUAUCGUCAAAGCCCAAUACUUGCACGGAACGCUACGCCGUAAAUCCGACAGGCAUAAGCAUGAAGGUCGCGCGC
rfam:Betaproteobacteria bacterium RIFCSPLOWO2_12_FTLL_64_23 rifcsplowo2_12_scaffold_3706, whole genome shotgun sequence.